UAUACCAUGCCCCAAUGCCUUCCAUGUAUCUGUACCUGUGCAAAAGGCACCAAUUAUGCAGUUUUGAAACACCUACAAGCUCAUAACUUUCUAUACCCGGUGCAAAAGGCACUGAUUAUGAAACCAGCUUGGUUGACGUGAGUGUUCGUACACUCUCAUCCCUUAAGAGAGGUCGGGAGUUCGAACUCCCUCUCGUAUGAAAAAAUCAAUUUGACCCCAACACUUCCCUUACCUCCUACAGUUAGUGUCUGCUCAAGAUAGCUCAUGAUCUGACCCAAAAAAAAAAAAAAAAAA